rnacentral:rRNA from 1 species
AGAUUGAACGCUGGCGGCAGGCCUAACACAUGCAAGUCGAGCGGUAGAGAGGUGCUUGCAUCUCUUGAGAGCGGCGGACGGGUGAGUAAUGCCUAGGAAUCUGCCUAGUGGUGGGGGAUAACGUUCGGAAACGGACGCUAAUACCGCAUACGUCCUACGGGAGAAAGCGGGGGACCUUCGGGCCUCGCGCCAUUAGAUGAGCCUAGGUCGGAUUAGCUAGUUGGUGAGGUAAUGGCUCACCAAGGCGACGAUCCGUAAC